UCCAUGUCAUUGUGGUUUCAUUCAUUCAGCCUUCUCUGUCUCUGUUUAGCAUCUUUGUGUUUUGUGUACUGUUAUGUUAGCUAGGACUUUACAGAGCACUGGAUAGUCUAGUAUUGUGUUUGUUCUGUUAUUCCAUCAUCAAGAAGUCUCAACACUCACUUCCUUUUGUACCUUCGCUACUACUGUGAUACUAAUUUAUGCUAGCGUUGCUACAAGGUGUCUAAUGACGUGUAGUGUCGCCUCAAAUCACCAUGAAUGCAAGAAUACAAGGCCCAAAGAAACUUUAAACAGAUAUAUUAAUAUUAGACCAUGAGACUUUUAUCUGUGUUUAAUGUUCAUUAUGAUGCCUUUCUGAUUACUGCUGUGUUAGAUACGGCAGCAGGAAUCAGUACGUCAGUAAUUAUGGCAGCAGGAAUCAGCACGUCAGUAGUCACGUCAGCAGGAAUCAGCACGUCAGUAGUCACGUCAGCAGGAAUCAGCAUGUCAGUAGAUAUGUCAGUAGUCACAGUAAGAAUCAGUACGUCAGUGGUUGUGUCAGUAGGUACGUCAGUAAGAACCAGUACGUCAGUAGUUAUGUCAGUAGUUACGGCAGUAGGAAUCAGUACGUCAGUAGGAAUCAGUACGUCAGUAGGUACGUCAGUAGGUAUGUCAGUAAGAACCAGUACGUCAGUAGUUAUGUCAGUAGGUACGUCAGUAAGAACCAGUACGUCAGUAGUUAUGUCAGUAGUCAUGUCAGUAGGUAUGUCAGUAAGAACCAGUACGUCAGUAGUUAUGUCAGUAGUUACGACAGUAAGAAUCAGCACGUCAGUAGGAAUCAGUACGUCAGUAGGUACGUCAGUAGGUAUGUCAGUAAGAACCAGUACGUCAGUAAUGUCAGUAGUCAUGUCAGUAGGUACGUCAGUAAGAACCAGUACGUCAGUAGUUAUGUCAGUAGUCAUGUCAGUAGGUACGUCAGUAAGAACCAGUACGUCAGUAGUUAUGUCAGUAGUCAUGUCAGUAGGUACGUCAGUAAGAACCAGUACGUCAGUAGUUAUGUCAGUAGUCAUGUCAGUAGGUACGUCAGUAAGAACCAGUACGUCAGUAGUUAUGUCAGUAGUCAUGUCAGUAGGUACGUCAGUAAGAACCAGUACGUCAGUAGUUAUGUCAGUAGUCAUGUCAGUUGGUACGUCAGUAAGAACCAGUACGUCAGUAGUUAUGUCAGUAGACGGCAGUAAGAAUCAGAACGUCAGUAGAACUAUUUAUGUGAGCCACUGCUACUGAAUCUUACUGUAGAGUUACUUCACUAAGAAUCAGUAGCAGUGUCGGCUCACAUUAUAGUGUAGAUAACCAAAAUAUACAACAAAUACCACAAACUCCUCAUUAGUAUUUAUAGUCAUGAAGGAUUAAGUCACUCGAGCAUCAGAAAAAUAAAUAAUAACUUCACUUGUACUUCUCUGAGGAAAUAAAUACACCAUAAACUAAUGAUAGCCGGAUAGCUUGAUGCUAACGCGAGCCCCAAGCUUGAAAAUAAAACUUUGUGCUAAAAGAAAGAACAAAUUGGUGUGUGUGUGUGUGUGUGUGUGUGUGUGUGUGUGUGUGUGUGUGUGUGUGUGUGUGUGUGUGUGUGUGUGUGUGUGUUUUACACUUAAUAAUUGACGCCUUUUGGCGUUCACGCUUUUCGAAACGUUACGGUUUGGAACACGACGCCGAAGGCAGACAGGAAGUAGGGACCCUAGUUAGGGAACAAGUGCGCGGAUUAAAGCACAGCCCUCAGUGAUCCGGUAAAGAGGAAACAAUCAAGAGCUCGGGAGUGAUGAUGGUGUCUGAGUUUUACUGGUGACCCAGCACUGAACACCUGAACACAAUGGAGGACUCGUCCAAAGAAGAAUACAAGAUCCAUUCCUUCGAUCCAGAGACACAGAAACUGCUUUUCACAGCUCUAAAAGACCCAGGUUUGGUGGAUCUGGAGACGGUGUGUAACAUCAUCAUGGACCAGUCUCUGAGGGAUCAGAUGUUUAGCAAAGAAGCGGGACGCAUGUGCUUCACUAUCGUCCAGGUAACCGUGUUAAUUCCACUCAGAAUAGCGGCGUAUUAAUCGCCGAGGUUGUAGCUGUGAGGUAUUUGGUAUGUGGUGCAUUACGGUCAUCAGGCGGAGGCCAAGCAGAACAACAGCAGCGCGUUUCGCCAUCAUCUCUUGGACCGACUGCAGCAGGAGUUCAAGAACCGCGAGGAGACGAGGAAGAGGUCCGUACAGGAGUGGGUGUGUUACGUCUCCUUCAUCUGUAACAUCUUCGACUACCUCAAGGUAAAUAACAUGCCCAUGAUGGUUCUGGUUCACCCGGUGUACGACUGUCUGAUGCGACUCGCCCAAUCAGAUGCACUCAAAAACGAAGAGGAGGUGGAUUGCCUGGUGCUGCAGCUGCAUCGUAUCGGAGAUCAGCUGGAGAAGGUGAACGCCGAGCGCAUGGACGAGCUCUUCUUCCUGCUGCGUGACGGCUUCCUGCUGCAGCACGACCUCAGCUCGCUCUCUCGCCUCCUCCUGCUGGAAAUGCUCGAGUUCCGUGCUGGAGGCUGGAGACUCAGUGACACGGCUCAGAGCUACUACUACAGCGAGCUGCAAGACUGAGUCACUAACCGACUCGUGGACUGACGCCUCGGCCAAUCAGUAGCUGGAAGAAACGUGUGUUAAGUCUGGACUCGUUUAUUCUUCAUGGCUACAAAUACAGGAAACAAACAAGUGCC